ensembl:lincRNA
CGGUGAGGUCUAAGGAUAAGUGGAUCUUUGUCCCUUCCAGGACAGGGUGUGUGGAAGAGAAAAGGCUAUGUUGCCCUGUUGGGUCCUUCUCCCUCACCUGCCUGCCCCUCAGGUUCAAGUCCACCCACCAAGGAAAGGCGGAGGAGACAUCCCGGGACAUAAGGAGCCUCAAAGCUGCGCUCAUAAAGCGGAAAGCAAUGGAAAGGCAUGGAACGUGGGACGGAAUGCCCCUCAAAGCAGUCAAGCAGGCGUUAAAGAGAGUCUCUUCCCGAAGCGGUUCUGGAGAGCAAGUUUCCUUAAGGACAAAGUUGACCACGAAACUGCUGACUGCCCUGGGCUGCAGGGCACUCAAUCGGGGAUGUUGAGAAGCUGGCGGUCUCUGCUCCUCUGGAGAAGAAUCAAAGACCAUCCCCGGGAACAUCGCAGCCUACUUAAAAAUAGCGACGAUACUUAAAAAAAAAAGAAGAAGAAGAAGAAGAAGAAGAAGAAGAGAGAGAGAGAGAGAAAAAGAGAGACGUCACCUGAUUAGGCCAGGCCCACCCAGGAACUCUCCUUUUUUAGUAUCGAGUUAACGGAAUUAGUGACCUUAAUAGUAUUUACAAAAAUCUCUUCACCUUUAUUAUACAACAUAACCUAAUGGGCUGAGUGAACGGAAUGUUUAUAUCCCUCUCCCCAUCCAUAUGUUGAAACCCUAAUCCCAGUGUGUUGGUAUUUGGAGGUGGAGGCUUUGAGGGAUGAUGAGGUCAUGAGAGUGGAGGCCUCACGAAUGGGAUUAAUCCCCUUAUAAGAAAAGGCCAGAGAAUUAGCAGUCGUUCCACCAUGAGAAGGCACAACGGGGAAAGAGCUCUCUGCAAACCGGGAAGAGCCCCUUGCCAGACACCAGAUCUGCCAGCACCUUGAUCUUGGAUUCUCCAGCCUCCAGAACUAUGAGAAACAGAUGUUUGUUGUUCAAGCUGCCCAGUCUAUGGUAAUUUGUUAUAGCAGCCUGGGAGGUGUAAGAUAACAUCCUAUCAUUUAUAGGUCCUACUCACAUUUAAGAUGAGGGGACGAUAUGGAGUGUCUACAGCAGGUGCCUGGAAUCUUGGGAACCAUCUUAGAAUUCUUUCUGCCCCAACUUAGUACCAUGGUUCUCAACCCCGGGCAGUUCUUCUCCCUAGGGGAAAUUUGACAAUGGUUGCCCUAACUGGGGGUGUGUGCCCUUGGCAUCUAGGGGGACACAGCUAACUAUCUCACAGUGCACAGGACAUCUUCCCGAAGGCAGAGCUAUGUGGCUUCAACUGUCAGUAGUGUUGAGAAAUGCUGAAAUAGAAGAAGGAGGAAUUUUGGAAGGAGAUCCGUGAGGGAAUUAAACUAUGAUCAGCUGUGUGGCUUCUAUUCCUUAUCUGGCUCUAGAAUCUACCUGUCAUUACAGAGGAGAUGAUCAGAAGCUUAAGAAGCCUUUCUUCAGAGCAUUUUCAGUCUCUGCAGAGCUGGGUUUGGCCCCAGAACUGGAGAAACGUGAUUCUCUGCAGCAGCGCUCUGCACCCCCCGCCCCCUGAACCCAGCAGGAUUGCAAGCCAUUGGGGCUGCUGGAGAGGAGAGUCUUGGCCUGGACAUUUGUAGUGGCUGCAGUGAAGUCUUUCCACAUGGGUUUGUUGGCAGUGGGUAUGGACAAGUAUGAUCUGAAGAAGAAAAGGAGGAAAAGGCACAUUCAGCUGGGUUACUGUGGCUGAUGUGCUGGUUCAUGGGUUCAGGGGGCACUACAAGAAAUUCAUAACAAGAGGUCACUUCAAGUGGGGUUAAUUUCCCAUGAUCGGGCUGGAGGGAUCGUGUGUACAUACCAUGAUUCAGUCACUGAAAGGACAUGUGCUAGUCAUUGGGGAAAAGCAGAUCAAAACCAAUGGGACACUGAUUCACACUCACUAGGAUGGCUAUAACUCGGCAAGAUACCUUGGCAAGUGUUGGCAAGACCUUGAGGACUUGGAGCUCUCGCACACAGUUGGUGGACAUGUGAAUGUUGCAGCUGCUUUGGAGGCCAGUCUGGCCAUUCCUUGGAAGGUGAAGCAUGGAGUCAUUAUGACCCAUCAAUUGCACUCCUCUAAGUAUGUGCCCCAGAGAACAGAAACAGGUCCACACAAACACAUGUCCAUGAAUGUCCACAGCAGCAUUAUUCAUAAUAGCCAAAAGGUGGAAAAAUCCCAGAUGUUCAUAAACUGGUGAAUGGAUAAAGAAAACAUGGUCUAUGCAUGGGAUGGAGUGUUAUUCAGCCAUAAAAAGGAAGGAAGCCCUAACACCUGCCACAAUGUGGAGAAGCCUUGAAAGCAUGAGAGAAGCCAGACACAGAAGGCCACAUGUGGGAUGGUCCCAUUUUUAAGAAAAGUCCCUAAUGGACCCGCAGAGACAGAGAGCAGAAUAGUGGUUGCCGAGGGUUGGAAGGAGGGAAUGGAUAGUGACUGCUUCUUUUUUGGGGUGAUGCAGAAUGUUCUGGAACUAGAAAGUGAGGAUGAUUGCACAAUUCUGUGAAUCUGAUAAAAACCACAGGACUGUAAACUUUGAAAAGGGUACGUUUACAAUAUGUGAAUUAUAGCUUAACAAAAAAAUAAUUUUCAGGGUGGCUCAGUGGGUUAAGCCUCUGCCUUCACUUGGGUCAUGAUCUCAGGGUCCUGGGAUUGAGCCCCACGUCAGGCCCUCUGCUCAGCAAGGAGCCUGCUUCCCCCUCUCUCUCUAUGCCUGUCUCUCUAUCUAUGAUCUCU